GCACAGGCAUGCCGUGAGCGCUCGUACCACAGAGGGCGCCAACUGAACGGGGCUCACUCUC
rnacentral:RNase_MRP_RNA from 1 species